UGAUUCCAAUAUAUGCUUCAUCAGUGAUGGAGGUUACUAUAGCUCUGUAGCAGAAACUUUCAGAGAAUGGGUUUAUAGGGUCAUUCAGUCAAUUCAGAGACUUGGAAAGUUCUGUAUGAGGGUCUGGCUGGCAGAAUUAACUUUUUGAAAAAGUUUUAUACACAGAUAUUUGUAUUAAUAAAUUGGAGCCAUAGUCCGAAGACUCAGAUCAUAAUUGGCUUAUUUUUCUAUUUCCUUAACUAUUGUAAUCUCCACUUUUAUAAUAAUUUUAAUUUGAAAGAUAAAUUUAUUUAUUUUUUUAACAGUCAGAAAUUCUUGCUGUUGUAGUCUGCAGCCUUUAAAAUGAUUGUGUUGCUUUUAGGACACUAAAAAAAGAAAGCUCCAGAAGUUGAAAGCAUGGUGCAGCAAGAUCAAAGUAAUACAAUUAACAAAGAAAGUGCUACAGCCUCUUUAUGAUGAUAGUUUCCUAAAUGCAGAGACAUUUGGCUGUAUCCACAUAGACAUUUCUAUUUUUUUUAAAUGAAAACUUGUUUCUUUGGCAAUAUUCCUAAAGGAAAUGAUUUUGUUCCUCUUACCUGAUUCUGUAGUUGUGAGACCUAUCAUGGGUAUCGGUGCUGUGUAACAAUGGAUUGUAAUGAGCAUGUGGUUCAGAAUACAUGAUGCUAAGUUUUUAAAAUAUCUUAAUGGUUCUUUUCUAUUUAUAAUUUCAAACUUUCAUAAAAUAUAACAAGAAUUUCAUAAAUUUGCUUUCAGUGAACUGCUCUUUUUGCCGAAGUAGGUCAUUAAACACAGGAUUUAUUCUUAUAAAUGGAAAUUUCUGAUCAUCUAGAAUAUUGACACUUAUUUCAAUUUGUGGUGUGUUUUUUUUUUGGACUGGAUGUAUUAGUGUUCCUCUGAAUGGUAUUGAUAAGUACUUCAGAAGAGAAAUUCAGUGAAAUAAAAGUAAUAUUUAUUCAUGGUGAUCAAUUAAUUAAGUUAUUUGCUUAACUUAAAACUACUGUGCAUAGUUCUCAAUUUUUUUGUAACUCAAUUUGCCAUGAGGUGACAGUAGAGAGUCUGAGUCUACUUGUGGAUAUGUUGGUUUAUUUCAGUGCUUGAAAAUAUACUCAAAGGUAAUUGGUUUGGGAAGACACCAUAUAAUUUUAAGUUAACCUGCAUGCUGUAAAUGUGUUUUAUGUGUAAAUAAAAAGGAAACAUUUUUGAAAUGCAAAAAAAAAAAAAAAAAAAA
rnacentral:lncRNA from 1 species